AUUUUGACUAUACAAAGGUAUUGUAAUAAGGCUUUAAUUGAGUGCUAAAAGAAUGAAUUUUCAAAAAAAUUCUUUUUUAAUUUUAAAAAUUGAAAUUAUUUUUAUUUGUGAAGAAACAAUAAUAAAAAUUAAGGACAAGAAGACCCUAUAAAUUUUAAAUAAUUUUUAUAUAAUGAAUUAUAUAAAAAUUAUUUAAUUGGGGCGAUUAAUUAAUAUAAUAAACUUUAUUUAGAAUUUAAAUUGAUCCAUUAAUAAUGAUUAAAUGAAGAAAAUACUUUAGGGAUAACAGCGUAAUAAUUUUAGAUAGAUCUUAUAGAAAAAAUAGUUUGCGACCUCGAUGUUGGAUUAGGAUUCUUAUUUAAUGAAGAAGUUAAUUAAAGAAGUUUGUUCAACUUUUAAAAUCCUACUUGAUCUGAGUUCAGACCGG
rnacentral:rRNA from 1 species